rnacentral:rRNA from 1 species
AGUGAAUAGAUACCCCGGUAGUCCUAGCCGUAAACGAUACUCGCUAGGUGUCGGCCACGGUGCGACCGUUGUCGGUGCCGUAGGGAAAGCCGUGAAGCGAGCCACCUGGGGAAGUACGGCCGCAAGGCUGAAACUUAAAGGAAUUGGCGGGGGAGCACCACAACGGGUGGAGCUUGCGGUUUAAUUGGAUUCAACGCCGGAAAUCUUACCGGGACCGACAGCAACAUGAAGGCCAGGCUGAAGACUUUACCGGUAUUAGCUGAGAGGUGGUGCAUGGCCGUCGUCAGUUCGUACUGUGAAAGCAUCCUGUUAAGUCAGGCAACGAGCGAGACCCACGCCCACAGUUGCCAGCGUACUCUCCGGAGUGACGGGUACACUGUGGGGACCGCCGCUGCUAAAGCGGAGGAAGGAAUGGGCAACGGUAGGUCAGUAUGCCCCGAAUAUCCCGGGCUACACGCGAGCUACAAUGGUUGGUACAAUGGGUAUCUACCCGAAAGGGGAUGAAAUCUCCUAAAGCCAAUCUUAGUUCGGAUUGA